ACAAAGAGGAACAGGCAGAUGGAGGCCACACAGUUAAGUGGCAGAGAGAAAUCUGAACUGGGGAGAAUCUUGACUCCACGAACAUGGAAGAGUCAGUAAACGCUUUCCUCUAAGUAAACUAUGAACAUUCACUUGACCCUGGGUUUCCCUAGAUCUGAAGAGCACAGGU